CUGCCGGCGACCGGCGCGCGGGUGAGUAACACGUAUGCAACCUGCCCUCCGCAGGGGGAUAACCCGGAGAAAUCCGGACUAAUACCGCGUGGUACACCAGUGGGGCAUCCCACGGGUGUUAAAAGGAAGCGAUUCCGGCGGAGGAUGGGCAUGCGGCGCAUUAGCUUGUUGGCGGGGUAACGGCCCACCAAGGCGACGAUGCGUAGGGGUUCUGAGAGGAAGGUCCCCCACACUGGUACUGAGACACGGACCAGACUCCUACGGGAGGCAGCAG
rnacentral:rRNA from 1 species